GCUAUUGAUGAAAACGGUUGUGUUUCAGUUUAAUUUGUGACUGUGGUGUGGUGAGAUCAAAGUUGAGAAAAACUACAAAUGACUCAACCGGCGAAUUCGACAGCUAAGGAAAAUGGAACUUAUUAUUUGUCAAUUCUCAUCAGUGGAGACAUUCAAUGUGAUUCAGAAAUUUUCCGAUCAACUGUUGCUUCAAGAGAAUAUGUUCAAAACUUGGAGGAUAAUUGAGCUAGACCUGUCGUUUUAUGUUGUGAUUGCAGGGCUUACAGCGACCUACGUCAUUGUGCUGAUACAGUUGAAUUAGUAUGUGAAUCCGUUCUGAGAGCGUUAAGGGUGGGAAUCAAUUUACGUUAUUAUAAGUCAUGAGAUAAAGGAG